AAGAGGUCGGUAAAUCCUCAAUCAAGGCAAAGCAAAAUAAGGUGACCAUCAUAUCAUGAAUCCAAAGGUCACCGACAUCCGUGGAAAAUAAGGUGACUGCCAUUUCAAGCGAACCUUGAAUCAUCAUCUUAAUUCUUACAUCGUCAAACUCUCUUGGAAGAUUAAUGCGUAUGCUAAAUUAGCUGAACGUAGGACUGGAAAACAUCACAAAGAAGGAUGGGUUAAAAU
rnacentral:lncRNA from 1 species